UGGGGAAUAUUGGACAAUGGGCGCAAGCCUGAUCCAGCCAUGCCGCGUGGGUGAAGAAGGCCUUCGGGUUGUAAAGCCCUUUUGUUCGGGACGAAAUCGUACGGGCGAAUAUCCCGUGCGGAUGACGGUACCGAAAGAAUAAGCACCGGCUAACUUCGUGCCAGCAGCCGCGGUAAUACGAAGGGUGCAAGCGUUACUCGGAAUUACUGGGCGUAAAGCGUGCGUAGGCGGUUUGUUAAGUCCGCUGUGAAAGCCCUGGGCUCAACCUGGGAAUUGCAGUGGAUACUGGCAAGCUAGAGUGCGGUAGAGGAUGGUGGAAUUCCCGGUGUAGCGGUGAAAUGCGUAGAGAUCGGGAGGAACACCCGUGGCGAAGGCGGCCAUCUGGACCAGCACUGACGCUGAGGCACGAAAGCGUGGGGAGCAAACA
rnacentral:rRNA from 1 species